rnacentral:rRNA from 1 species
AGUUUGAUCCUGGCUCAGAUUGAACGCUGGCGGCAGGCCUAACACAUGCAAGUCGAGCGGCAGCGGGAAAGUAGCUUGCUACUUUUGCCGGCGAGCGGCGGACGGGUGAGUAAUGCCUGGGGAUCUGCCCAGUCGAGGGGGAUAACAGUUGGAAACGGUAGCUAAUACCGCAUACGCCCUACGGGGGAAAGCAGGGGACCUUCGGGCCUUGCGCGAUUGGAUGAACCCAGGUGGGAUUAGCUAGUUGGUGGGGUAAUGGCUCACCAAGGCGACGAUCCCUAGCUGGUCUGAGAGGAUGAUCAGCCACACUGGAACUGAGACACGGUCCAGACUCCUACGGGAGGCAGCAGUGGGGAAUAUUGCACAAUGGGGGAAACCCUGAUGCAGCCAUGCCGCGUGUGUGAAGAAGGCCUUCGGGUUGUAAAGCACUUUCAGCGAGGAGGAAAGGUUGGCGCCUAAUACGUGUCAACUGUGACGUUACUCGCAGAAGAAGCACCGGCU